rnacentral:lncRNA from 1 species
CACAGCGGCCUUGGGUUUGGGCUCCAGCCCCAGCCGGGCCCCCUCGCGCCGCUGCGGCUGCUGCGCGGUGAGGUCGUGACAAGUCACAGCUAACUUGCCCUCCGCGCCAUUCCACGCCACCAGGAAGCGCAGCCGGUGCCUCUCGGCAUCGGCGAAGAGGCCUUGCCGGACCGGCGCCCAGCCCUCCAGGCUGUCGAGCUGCUCGUCCUCCAUGGCCGUCGGCGGCAGCGGCCCUAGGACUCGGCGGGCGCGGGCCUGACCUCGUCGCACUGCCUGUCAGGGGACAGUCCCAGGCAUAACUGAAGGUGAAAGGACAGAAUCACCGUGUGUUACUGGCACAGAUGCAUCGGCUAGUGAAGAAAGAAGACAUUCAAACUAGUCCCGCUCUGUCGCCCAGUCUGGAGUGCAGCAGCGCCAUCAUAGCUCACUGCCACCUAGAAGCCGGGGUGAAGCAAUCCUCCUCCAUCAGCCUUCAGAGUAGCUGGGACUACCUGCGCGGCCCACCACAGCCGGCUAAUCUUUGUGGUUUUUCUUUUGUUUUCCGUUCUGGGUUUCCGUCGGGCGCAGUGGCUCAGGCCUGCAAUCCCAGCACUUUGGAAGGCAGAGGUGGGCGGAUCACCCGAGGUCGGAGACCAGCCUGACCAACAUGAAGAAAUCCCGUCUCUACUAAAAAAAAGAAAAAAACUACAAAAUUAGCCGGAUAUGGUGGCUCAUGCCUGUAAUCCCAGCUACUAGGGAGGCCCAGGCAGGAGAAUCACCUAAAUCCGGGAGGCCGAGGUUGCGGUGGGCAAAGAUCACACCAUUGCACUCCAGCCUGGACAACAAGGGUGAAACUCCGUCUCAAAACAGAGACCGGGUUUCACCAUGUUGCCCAGGCGGUCUGGAACUCCUAGGCUCAAGCGAUCUGCCACACUCGGCCUUCCAAAGUCCUGGGAUCACAAGGGGGAGGCACCACGCCAGGCAGAUCUAUUCCUUUCUGGUUACUAAAUUGGACCGGGGGCGCGGUGGCUCACGCCUGCAAUCCCAGCACCCAGGGAGGCGGAGGCGGGCGUAUCACUCGAGGUCAGGAGCUCGAGAUCAGCCUGACCAACACGGAGAAACCCCGUCUGUACCAAAAAAAUAAAACCAAAAUUAGCUGGCAUGGUGGCUCAUGCCUGCAAUCCCAGACACUCAGGAGGCUGAGGCAGGAGAACCACCUAAACCCGGGAGGUGGAGGCCGCGGUGAGUCGAGACCACGCCACUGCACUCCAGCCUGCAAAACGAGCGAAACUCCACUCAAAAAAAAAAAAAAAAAAGACAGUGUUUCACCACGUUGCCCAGGCCGGUCUGGAAGUCCUAGGCUCAAUCGAUCGCCGCGCUCGGCCGUCCACAGUACUGGGAUCACAAGCAUGAGCUACCACGCCAGGCCGAUCUAUUCCUUUCUGGUUACUAAAUUGGACCGGGGGCACGGUGGCUCACGCCUGCAAUCCCAGCACCCAGGGAGGCGGAGGCGGGUGGAUCACCCGAGGUCAGGAGCUUGAGAUCAGCCCGACCAACACGGAGAAACCCCGUCUGUACAAAAAAAAAACACCAAAAUUAGCUGGCAUGGUGGCUCAUGCCUGCAAUCCCAGCCACUCAGGAGGCUUAGGCAGGAGAACCACCUAACCGGGAGGUGGAGGCCGCGGUGAGUCGAGACCGGAAAACACUCUAGCCUGGAAAACGAGCGAAACUCCACUCAAAAAAAAAAAAAAAAAAAAAAAAAAAAGACCGUGUUUCACCAUGUCGUCCAGGCUGGUCUGGAACUCCUAGAACAUGUAGAUGUUACCUCAUUUGGAAAAAGCAGAUUUUCAGGUAUGAUUAAGUUAAGGAUCUUGAAGAGAGAUUAUCCUGGAUUGUCUCCGUGGGCAUUAAAUCCUGGCACAUAUAUCCUUAUAAGAGGGAGAUAAAGGAGAUUUAACUUCAGACAGAAGAGAAGGAGGCCCUGUGACCAAGAAGGCAGAGCCUGGAGUGGUGGAGCUGCAAGCCAAUGAAUGCCAGCAGCCAUCAGAAGCUGCGCAAGUCAAAGGAUGGAUUUUCCCCUCAGCCUCUGAGAGCACUGGCUCUGCUGAGACCUAGAUUUCAGCCCAGUGAUACUGAUUUUGGACUUCUGAUAUCCAAAACUGUGAGAAAAUAAAUUUCUGUUGUUUUAAGUCACCACAUUUUUGGUAAUUUGCUCUAACAGCCACAGGAAAGUAACAUACAUGCCUACCUGGGUCCAGUUGUGUCCUGUGACUCCUGCUUU